CGAGGCCCUUAUCGAAGUCGAUUUUGUCUGUAUUGUGGUUGAAUCGGUCAACAAGGCGCCUAUAGUGAAACUUCCACCGACGGUCGCUGCCCAGUUUCUGUAAACGUUAACUGGUCAGCAACAAAUAUGGGGAAGGACACUG